AGAUAGAGGAGUGCGUCGAAGAGAGCCGUAACACAGGUGCUGCAUGGCUGUCGUCAGCUCGUGUCGUGAGAUGUGGUUAAGUCCCGCAACGAGCGCAACCCUUGUCAUUAGUUGCUACAUUCAGUUGGGCACUCUAAUGAGACUGCCGGUGACAAACCGGAGGAAGGUGGGGAUGACGUCAAGUCCUCAUGGCCCUUAUAGGUGGGGCUACACACGUCAUACAAUGGAUGGUACAAAGGGUCGCCAACCCGCGAGGGGGAGCCAAUCCCAUAAAGCCAUUCGUAGUCCGGAUCGCAGUCUGCAACUCGACUGCGUGAAGUCGGAAUCGCUAGUAAUCGUGGAUCAGCAUGUCACGGUGAAUACGUUCCCGGGUCUU
rnacentral:rRNA from 1 species